GCUACACAAGACAGCACAGUAUGGUCUUCGUACUUGGCCAACACCUCAGCCUUUCCAGGCAAGCCUGCAGUGCCCUGAGCUGCAACACCAAGCCAUUCAAAUGCAUAACUGGCAAACAGCAGCCUGCCUCCAGCAGAGGGGACAUAAAAGAAGCAGAGAAACAUCUGGGCUGCUGGUUAGGAGAGCAGGGCAUCAGUUUACCUGAUCCCAGCCAUCCAGGCAAUCUCUCCUGAGCAUGAGAUGAGACCAAGUGAAACCCAACCUUGAGGAAAGCAGAGGAUGAUCACCUUGAGAAGCUGCUACAGCAAUGACCUACCAACAGCAAUGCUUUGCAGGACACCCAAUGGACUUCCAGAAGUGCAUGUUUUGAAAGCCCUCUGAUGUGCCUGCAAAG